GCAGCUGGUCACAUGGUGAGGGUGGGGGUGAGGGGGCCUCUCUAGCUUGCGGCCUGUGUCUAUGGUCGGGCCCUCUGCGUCCAGCUGCUCCGGACCGAGCUCGGGUGUAUGGGGCCGUAGGAACCGGCUCCGGGGCCCCGAUAACGGGCCGCCCCCACAGCACCCCGGGCUGGCGUGAGGCCUCUCUUCUGUGGAAACUCUGAAGCCGACCAGUUGGGCAAAAUCUUUGACCUGAUUGGGCUGCCUCCAGAGGAUGACUGGCCUCGAGAUGUAUCCCUGCCCCGUGGAGCCUUUCCCCCCAGAGGGCCCCGCCCAGUGCAGUCGGUGGUACCUGAGAUGGAGGAGUCGGGAGCACAGCUGCUGCUGGAAAUGCUGACUUUUAACCCACACAAGCGAAUCUCUGCCUUUCGAGCUCUGCAGCACUCUUAUCUACAUAAGGAUGAAGGUAAUCCGGAGUGAGCAAUGGAGUGGCUGCCAUGGAAGGAAGAAAAGCUGCCAUUUCCCUUCUGGACACUGAGAGGGCAAUCUUUGCCUUUAUCUCUGAGGCUAUGGAGGGUC
rnacentral:lncRNA from 1 species